rnacentral:rRNA from 1 species
CAAUAGCGUGUAUUAAAGUUGUUGCGGUUAAAAUCUCGUAGUGUGGUUUUUGCCGAAGACGACUGGUCCGCCCUCUGGGUGCGUAUCUGGUUCGGUCUGGGCAUCUUCUUGGAGAACGUACCUGCACUUGAUUGUGUGGUGCGGUAUCCAGGACUUUUACUUCGAGGAAAUCAAAGUGUUUCAAGCAGGCAUACGCCUUGAAUACAUUAGCAUGGUAAUAAGAUAGGACCUCGGUUCUAUUCUGCUGGUUUCUAGAGCUGAGGUAAUGUUGAGUAGGAAUAGUUGGGGGCAUUCGUAUUCAAGUGUCAGAGGUGAAAUCCAUGGAGUUGUGCAAGACCUACUGCGAAAUAAGUGGCCAAAGAUGUCUUCAUUGAUCAAAGGCUAAAGUUAGGGGAUCGAAGACGAUCAGAU